rnacentral:rRNA from 1 species
GACGAACGCUGGCGGCGUGCUUUAGGCAUGCAAGUCGAACGCGAAAGCCCCUUCGGGGGUGAGUAGAGUGGCGAACGGGUGAGUAACACGUGGGUAACCUGCCCCUCGCAGGGGGAUAACCGGGGGAAACCCCGGCUAAUACCCCGUACGCUUGCUGGGGCGCAUGCUCCGGCAAGGAAAGGUAGCUUCGGCCAUCCGGCGAGGGAGGGGCCCGCGGCCCAUUAGCUAGUUGGUGGGGUAACGGCCCACCAAGGCGACGAUGGGUAGCUGGCCUGAGAGGGUGGUCAGCCACACUGGGACUGAGACACGGCCCAGACUCCUACGGGAGGCAGCAGCCAGGAAUCUUGCGAAAUGGGCGAAAGCCUGACGGAGCAACGCCGCGUGGGCGAUGAAGGCCUUCGGGUCGUAAAGCCCUGUUGUCGGGGACGAAGGGCGAAGGGUUAAUAGCCCCUAGCCUGACGGUACCCGACGAGGAAGCCCCGGCUAACUACGUG